UACGGGGGAUGCAAGCGUUAUCCGGAUUUAUUGGGUUUAAAGGGUGCGUAGGCUGUGAGGUAAGUCAGCAGUGAAAUGCCCCCGCUCAACGGGGUGAAGUGCCAUUGAUACUGCCUUGCUGGAAUGCGGAUGCCGUGGGAGGAAUGUGUGGUGUAGCGGUGAAAUGCAUAGAUAUCACACAGAACACCGAUUGCGAAGGCAUCUCACGAAUCCGCUAUUGACGCUGAUGCACGAAAGCGUGGGUAUCAAACAGG
rnacentral:rRNA from 1 species